GGGGUAUGGCACCAUGAAGAUGGCUGCCGUUGCCAUGGAAACGAAACAAAUGUGAAAAAAUCUAGUGUUUUGUUUUGGUGAACUGUUCGGAUAUGCUUGAACUCAGAAUCAUUAUAUUUUGAUACAAUGUAGGUGCCCACUAUAUACAGGUGUUGGAUGAUUUUGGCACUCAUUGGAACUACUAUGUUGCCAUGGAAACUACUCCAAAAAUUUCAAAAAUCUCAAAAUGUUCCAAACUUAAUGAAACUUCACAGUAACGAUGAGUAACAUUGGAAGAUGUGGAAUUUGGCGUUGGAAUUUCCAAAAUAUCUGUUGUUACCAUGAAAACAAUGCAAAAAGGUCAAAACUUUGAAUUUUCACAGAACAUUCCAGAAC
rnacentral:lncRNA from 1 species